rnacentral:misc_RNA from 1 species
GAUGAAGAACGUAGUGAAAUGCGAUAAGUAGUGUGAAUUGCAGAAUUCAGUGAAUCAUCGAAUCUUUGAACGCACAUUGCGCCCUUUGGUAUUCCUUAGGGCAUGCCUGUUCGAGCGUCAUUUGACCCCUCAAGCUCUGCUUGGUGAUGGGCGCCUUGUCGACCCUGCGUCUCUUCGCGGGCGACUCGCCUCAAAUCUAUUGGCGGCUAGCAUUGCAGUUUCGAGCGCAGCAGAAACGCGAACUCGAGCCUGAGUGUGAGCUCCCAGCAAGCCACCCCCACAUUUUGACCUCGGAUCAGGUAGGGAUACCCGCUGAACUUAAGCAUAUCAAUAAGCGGAGGA